GCCAGUGUGGUUUAGUGGUUAGAGUGUUAGACUAGGACCUCAGAGGCCAGGGUUCAAAUCCCCACUCAGUCAUGAGGCU